UCCCGUUGAUCCUGCGGGAGGUUACUGCUAUCUGGAUUCGAUUUAGGCAUGCAAGUUUAGGGUUCCUUCGGGAACACUGGCGAAAGGCUCAGUAACACGUCAAUAAUCUGCCCUUAAGUCUACCAUAACCUUGGGAAACUGAGGCUAAUAGUAGAUAGGAAAUUAUUACUGGAAAGUAUAAUUUCUUAAAGGCAACGCUUAAGGAUGAGUUGGCGGCUGAUUAGGCAGUUGGUGAGGUAAAGGCUCACCAAACCUGAGAUCAGUAGAGGGGAUGAGAGUCCUAGCCUCGAGAAGGACACUGAGAUAAGGGUCCUAGCCCUAAGGGGUGCAGCAGCUACGAAACCUUUACAAUGCGCGCAAGCGUGAUAAGGGAAUCCAGAGUGCUUUGCCUUUGGCAAGGCUUUUGUUAAGAGUAAGUAUCUUAACGAAUAAGUGGUGGGUAAUACUGGUGCCAGCCGCCGCGGUAACACCAGAGCCACAAGUGGUAACCACGAUUAUUGGGCCUAAAGCGUCCGUAGCCGACAUAUCAAGUUUUUUUGUGAAAUUGUUAAACUCAAUUUAACAACGUGCAAGAAAUACUGUUAAGUUAGAGACCAGGAAAGGAUAGAAGUAUUCUAAGGGGAGUGGUAAAAUGCUAUAAUCCUUAGGAGACUACCUAUGGCGAAGGCAUCUAUCUAGAAUGGGUCUGACGGUGAGGGACGAAAGCUAGGAGAACGAGAGGGAUUAGAUACCCCAGUAGCCCUAGCCGUAAACACUGUGAACUAGGUGUUGCAUGUUCUCCGAGAACAUGCAGUGCCGAAGCGAAGGCAUUAAGUUCACCGCCUGGGAAGUAUGGUCGCAAGACUGAAACUUUAAGGAAUUGGCGGGGGCGCACACAAGGAGUGCGGCGUGCGGUUUAAUCUAACUAUACACAGAUAAUCUUACCAGAAGCGACGGCAGAAUGAAGGUCAGAUUGAAGGUUUUACCUAACGAGCCGAGAGAUGGUGCAUGGCCGUCGUCAGCUCGUGCCACAAGGUGUCACGUUAAGUCGUGCAACGAGCAAGACUUAUAUCUGCUGUUGCUAUCAAAUUCUCCGGAAUUUGAGCACACUGCAGAGACUGCCCUGGCAACAGGGAGGAAGGUGUAAGCAACGAUAGGUCUGUAUGCCUCGAAUCUUCUGGGAUACACGCGCGCAACAAUGGUAGAGACAGCGAGAUACGACUCCGAAAGGAGAAGUUAACCUCUAAACUCUAUCCUAGUCCAGAUUGAGGGCUGUAAUUCGCUCUCAUGACGUCGGAAUUCCUAGUAAUCGUCUGUCAAAAGCAAACGGUGAAUGAGUCCCUGUGCCUUGCACACACUGCCCGUCAAACCAACCGAGCAGGGUUUGGAUAAGAAUUAAUUAAAAAGGUUACUUCAAAUCUAAAUUCAGUAAGGUGGGUUAAGUCGUCACAAGGUA
rnacentral:rRNA from 1 species